AGUCGAGCGGGGAAAGGUAGCUUGCUACCUAACCUAGCGGCGGACGGGUGAGUAAUGCUUAGGAAUCUGCCUAUUAGUGGGGGACAACGUUUCGAAAGGAACGCUAAUACCGCAUACGCCCUACGGGGGAAAGCAGGGGCUCUUCGGACCUUGCGCUAAUAGAUGAGCCUAAGUCAGAUUAGCUAGUUGGUGGGGUAAAGGCCUACCAAGGCGACGAUCUGUAGCGGGUCUGAGAGGAUGAUCCGCCACACUGGGACUGAGACACGGCCCAGACUCCUACGGGAGGCAGCAGUGGGGAAUAUUGGACAAUGGGGGGAACCCUGAUCCAGCCAUGCCGCGUGUGUGAAGAAGGCCUUUUGGUUGUAAAGCACUUUAAGCGAGGAGGAGGCUCCUAUAGAUAAUACCUAUAGUGAGUGGACGUUACUCGCAGAAUAAGCACCGGCUAACUCUGUGCCAGCAGCCGCGGUAAUACAGAGGGUGCGAGCGUUAAUCGGAUUUACUGGGCGUAAAGCGUACGUAGGCGGCUUUUUAAGUCGGAUGUGAAAUCCCUGAGCUUAACUUAGGAAUUGCAUUCGAUACUGGGAAGCUAGAGUAUGGGAGAGGAUGGUAGAAUUCCAGGUGUAGCGGUGAAAUGCGUAGAGAUCUGGAGGAAUACCGAUGGCGAAGGCAGCCAUCUGGCCUAAUACUGACGCUGAGGUACGAAAGCAUGGGGAGCAAACAGGAUUAGAUACCCUGGUAGUCCAUGCCGUAAACGAUGUCUACUAGCCGUUGGGGCCUUUGAGGCUUUAGUGGCGCAGCUAACGCGAUAAGUAGACCGCCUGGGGAGUACGGUCGCAAGACUAAAACUC
rnacentral:rRNA from 1 species